rnacentral:rRNA from 1 species
UACGGAGGAUGCAAGCGUUAUCCGGAAUGAUUGGGCGUAAAGCGUCCGCAGGUGGCUGUGUAAGUCUGCUGUCAAAGAGCGAAGCUCAACCUCGUAAAGGCAGUGGAAACUACACGGCUAGAGUGCGUUCGGGGCAGAGGGAAUUCCUGGUGUAGCGGUGAAAUGCGCAGAUAUCAGGAAGAACACCAAUGGCGAAAGCAGCUCUCUGGGACGGUACUGACGCUGAGACGCGAAAGCGUGGGGAGCGAACAGG